AAACAAUGUGGCACAGCACCUUCAUAAAGAUAUCAGCCAACUUUGAGACGAACAGGUCUCGUCUCCGAAUUAGUCAAAAGCCACAAAAAGCCGCUGGCCGACAGGCCAUGGUUCCAAUAGCCGACGUCAGCGAAUGCAUAAAAUAGCCAUAAACUCUUAUUUACUUUGCUUUUCCUAUAAAGCCUGUGGCCCAGCCAGUUUUGUUAGCCGUCACCUGCUCAUUUGGUUAUUAGUCAGUUGCCGGUUUUAGUUCGAACCAUUUGCAUACUAAAUGAGCAAAGAAACAAUUGGUAAAAACGGAAAACAGUCCAAAAACGAUUUAGUUUUGAGUGCAGCUGCUUUCUCUAACGCUUCGACCUUAUCCGAAGGGCGAGAUUGUUCGAGGGGGAUUCCCGAAGCGAAAGCUGCGCAUCCCUGGCCACAAAUCGGAUGACACGCACCUUACGCGCAGCCCCACGCAAAAUUUGCACAGAAGCACUGUGUUUUUAGGGUGUGUUUAUUUGCAGCUUGCUAUGUACAUUAACUGCAGCCGCCGCAGCAAAACUCGGGGUUGGGUCACCAUCGCCACCGCCACCGCCACCAUCACCAUCCCGUUCUCGGCCUGAGGCUUAACACUUUGCCACUUGGCGUAUCUGGAGCCGAUAAUCAUCGUCUUGGCCCCCACCCCCCCCUCAACCCUGAUUCCAUUGCGGGAUUAUGGGUGGGUGCGUGUGCCCGGGUGGGUGGCCUGCAGCAGCUGUCGCCGCUUUCUUCGGCACAGCCACUAAUAUUUCGGUAUACUACUUAACCCAUGCACUAAAUGGCGGGACAAGUGUUUUUCACCCGGAGCGGGGAAAAUUGCCAUAUUAAUUGCAUGGCACGGCCCAGGGAUCAGGCCGCAGCAUCCUGCAGGAUAAUGGCUGCUCUGCCCGCCUCUGCUGCAGCGACGCCAGCAGAAGUAGCGGCGGACGAUGGCCGCC